rnacentral:rRNA from 1 species
UGGAUAUCUGCCUUUUGGUUCGGGAUAACCUUGGGAAACUAGGGCUAAUACCGAAUGGUUCCUACGGGAUAAAGAUUUAUCGCCAAAAGAUGAGUCCGCGUCCGAUUAGCUAGUUGGUGGGGUAAUGGCCCACCAAGGCGACGAUCGGUAGCUGGUCUGAGAGGACGAUCAGCCACACUGGGACUGAGACACGGCCCAGACUCCUACGGGAGGCAG